rnacentral:rRNA from 1 species
ACAACGGAUAUAGAGGACAGUGGCGGACGGGUGAGUAACACGUGAGGAACCUGCCUUUGAGAGUGGGAUAGCUUCUGGAAACGGAUGGUAAUACCGCAUAACAUAGCGAAACCGCAUGAUUUUGCUAUCAAAGUAUUUCGCUCAGAGAUGGCCUCGCGUCUGAUUAGAUAGUUGGUGAGGUAACGGCUCACCAAGUCGACGAUCAGUAGCCGGACUGAGAGGUUGAACGGCCACAUUGGGACUGAGACACGGCCCAGACUCC